UUGGAGGGUUUGAUCCUGGCUCAGGGCUAACGCUGGCGGCGUGUCUUAGACAUGCAAGUCGUACGGACCUUCCUUGUGUAGCAAUACGUAGGGAAGGUUAGUGGCGAACGGGUGAGUAAUACUGGGGUAAUCUACCCUGGAGCGGGGAACAACUUCGAGAAAUCGGGGCUAAUUCCCCAUACGCUCCACUGUACAUAGUGCAGAGGAGGAAAGGUGGCCUCUGCUUGCAAGCUACCACUCUGGGAUGAGCUCCUGGCCUAUCAGCUUGUUGGUGAGGUAACGGCUCACCAAGGCACAGACGGGUAGCCGGCCUGAGAGGGUGAUCGGCCACACGGGCACUGCGACACGGGCCCGACUCCUACGGGAGGCAGCAGUCUAGAAAAUUGCGCAAUGGGCGCAAGCCUGACGCAGCGACGCCGCGUGCGGGAUGAAGUCCUUCGGGAUGUAAACCGCUGUCCCGGGAGACGAUGGGGCGUAUACCCAAUACGUAUGCGCUUUGACGGUAUCCCGGAAGAAAGCACCGGCUAACUACGUGCCAGCAGCCGCGGUAAUACGUAGGGUGCAAGCGUUGCCCGGAUUCACUGGGCGUAAAGGGUGCGUAGGCGGAUUGGUAAGUCUGCUGUGAAAUCUCCGGGCUCAACCCGGAAACUGCGGUCGAUACUGCCGGUCUAGAGGACAGAAGAGGAGAGCGGAACUCCUGGUGUAGCGGUAAAAUGCGUGGAUAUCAGGAGGAAGGCCGAUGGCGAAGGCAGCUCUCUGGGAUGUUCCUGACGCUGAUGUACGAAAGCUAGGGUAGCAAACCGGAUUAGAUACCCGGGUAGUCCUAGCCGUAAACGAUGUACACUAGGUAUUGGCAUCAGUCAGUGCCGGAGCUAACGCAUUAAGUGUACCGCCUGGGGACUACGGCCGCAAGGCUAAAACUCAAAGGAAUUGACGGGGCCCCGCACAAGCGGUGGAUGAUGCGGUUUAAUUCGUUGCUACGCGAAGAACCUUACCUGGGCUUGACAUGUACGUGGUACGGAUCCGAAAGGUGAAGGACCGGGGUUUUCCCCGGAGCGUACACAGGUGCUGCACGGCUGUCGUCAGCUCGUGCCGUGAGGUGUUGGGUUAAGUCCCGCAACGAGCGCAACCCCUGCCGAUAGUUGCCAUCAGGUUAUGCUGGGCACUCUAUCGGGACUGCCCGGGUCAACCGGGAGGAAGGUGGGGACGACGUCAAGUCAUCGUGGCCUUUAUGCCCAGGGCUACACGCGUCAUACAGUGGCCGUUACAGAGGGUUGCCACACUGCGAAGUGGAGCUAAUCCCGUAAAAGCGGCCAUGGUUCGGAUUGCAGGCUGCAACUCGCCUGCAUGAAGGUGGAAUCGCUAGUAAUCGCAGAUCAGCAAUGCUGUGGUGAAUGCGUUCUCGGGGCUUGUACACACCGCCCGUCACGCCAUGGAAGUCGUGGGCGCCUGAAGACGCGGAGUCUAACCUCGUGAGGACCUGUGUUGAGGGUGAACUCGGUAACUGGGGCGAAGUCGUAACAAGGUAGCCGUACGGGAACGUGCGGCUGGAUCACCUCCUUUCUACGGA
rnacentral:rRNA from 1 species